UACGUAGGGGGCUAGCGUUGCUCGGAAUCACUGGGCGUAAAGCGCACGUAGGCGGCUUUUUAAGUCAGGGGUGAAAUCCUGGAGCUCAGCUCCAGAACUGCCUUUGAUACUGGGAAGCUUGAGUCCGGGAGAGGUGAGUGGAACUCCGAGUGUAGAGGUGAAAUUCGUAGAUAUUCGGAAGAACACCAGUGGCGAAGGCGGCUCACUGGCCCGGUACUGACGCUGAGGUGCGAAAGCGUGGGGAGCAAACAGG
rnacentral:rRNA from 1 species